UGUUAAAACUUUCAUCAAUUUUUACAAUUAAAAAUUGGUGUAGCUAACGGAAUAACUAGACAAAUAUACGCGACAUGUUUUCUGUACCUCGUGCUGAUAUAUAAGACCAAUUUUUAAUAGUAAAAAUAAAUAAUUUUUAUUA
rnacentral:pre_miRNA from 1 species